rnacentral:rRNA from 1 species
UGGCGGUGUGCUUCACACAUGCAAGUCGAGCGGAUGAAGUAGGUAGCUUGCUACUUAUGGAUUUAGCGGCGGACGGGUGAGUAAUAUAUAGGAAUCUGCCUUAGAGCGGGGAACAACAGACCGAAAGGUUUGCUAAUGCCCCAUAGGUAUGCAGUCUUCGGAUUGUUUAUUAAAGGAGUAAUCCACUCUAAGAUGAGCCUGUAUCCGAUUAGCUAGUUGGCGGGGUAAAGGCUCACCAAGGCUACGAUCGGUAGUUGGUCUGAGAGGAUGAUCAGCCACAAUGGGACUGAGACACGGCCCAUACUCCUACGGGAGGCAGCAGUGGGGAAUUUUACACAAUGGGGGAAACCCUGAUGUAGCGACACCGCGUGAACGAAGAAGCCUUUUGGGGUGUAAAGUUCUGUCGGCUGGAACGAAAAAAAUGACGGUACCAGCAAAGGAAGCAUCGGCUAACUACGUGCCAGCAGCCGCGGUAAGACGUAGGAUGCAAGCGUUGUCCGGAUUUAUUGGGCGUAAAGAGUUCGUAGGCGGUUAUUUAAGUCUGAUGUUAAAUACUGUGGCCCAACCACAGAACUGCAUUGGAUACUGGAUGACUUGAGUGCGGUAGAGGCAAGUGGAAUUCCCAGUGUAGCGGUGAAAUGCGUAGAUAUUGGGAAGAACACCAGUGGCGUAAGCGACUUGCUGGCCCGUAACUGACGCUGAAGAACGAAAGCCAGGGGAGCGAAUGGGAUUAGAUACCCCAGUAGUCCUGGCCGUAAACGAUGGA